AGAUUGUGUCAUUCAUCGAUUAUAUAAUAAGCUUAUAAUCCUAGCUUUAUUUUGCUGUGCUUCUGAAUCAUCAAGACCAUAUUCGAAUGCUAGUAAAAGGUUUGCUGCGUGGUGCGGAUUCUGCAAAUUGUGCUAAAUAUUAAUACGUAAGUAAAUU